rnacentral:lncRNA from 1 species
UUUACAAACCCAUCUAAAUCUCUCUCAAAUCACCAAAAAACGUUGCUGCAAAUCAGAGUUCGGAUAGAUUCAUCGAGCUUUACGAAAAUGGGCAUAACUUCUUCAUUUCUCAUCCGUUUUAGCUCAUUCUUUUUCCAGAAUGCUUGGCUUGACCUUAUCUUCGAUUCCAUGGGUGUUUCGCAAUGAAUAAACCCCUGAAACUCCGGCAAAUAGGCUUCAAAGUCCACUGUUCAAAUUUGUUUCAUUAAUCUUUAUCAAUACUUACUUAAACUUGAGUUUAACUCACUCAAACCUAUGUCCUAAUGCUUACAACCUAUCUUAUGGUUGGUUAGGCUUAAAACAAGGUUGAGACAUGUGAAAUCAAAGGUGUAAACCUCACAUACUUUUCGUUUUUUUUGGGUUUUAACCCACAAGUAAUGAACAAGCCUAAUGCUUGAUGUUUGUGUGAUUAUAGGACUAGCUUGGGCUAUCCUACUUGUAAGUCCACACAUUACUUGAUGUUUUCCUUAGAUUAGUUGUACUAAUUCAUUCUUUAUUGUAUGUUCAUGACCCUCUUUGGUUGUUUUUAUAUCAAGUGUAGUGGGGAACACUUAGAGGUACCUAAAUGGAAGCUUGUUCUUCCUACCUCCUACAUGAUUUCCAUGAUAUUUAGAGGUACCUAAAUGAGGAUCUUAAUCUUCUACCUCAUGCUUGAAAUAUUGGACUUAAUAAUAUGUAUAAAAUAUAUGUAAUAUAUAAGCACAUAAUCCAAAUAAUCGAAUCUUAGAUGAUGAAUUAGUGUUCAUAUGUCCAAGUGCUAGAUUAUAUCAUCCUAUGAUAACUUGUUACGAUUCUAAUGGAACCAUGUUCCAUGAAACCAUAUAAACUCCUUGGAGUACAUAGUGUCAAGAACAAGUAUCAUAUGUAUUAGAUGAUUAUUUUCACAUGUUAUUCUCAUAUGUUAUUUUCAUGUUGUUUUAUUCCGAGUCUCGACUCUAAGCAUACUUGAACUUUAACCCUUAUACAUUCGGACUCUAAAUCUCUACUCGUCAACAAUUGGAUAAUCGGAAAGUAUGUGCAAACUUUGUUGAGGAUGAUGAUGCUAAGAAAUGAAGUAGCGUCGAUGCCUAGAUACACAUAUAGACGUUUAGGUUUAACCGUUGUAUCAAUUUUGAUUAUGUUGUAUUGUAAUUCCUUUGAACUUGACGUUAUUUGAUUUCUUUGUAACGUUGACAAAUGAAUUAUGAAAUGAAAUCGGU